AACCAUAGAAACCUGCGGAGUACCUGCGGAGGGAUCAUUAACACGUAUAUCCCUAUAUACAAACAAACAACCCUUUGACAUCACUCAAACUCUAACGAGUUUGGCGAACCUAUUGACCCGUGUGCGGCAUCGGAGUGGCUGCGCUUUAUGUGUAGUCAUUGCAGUUGGCUUCAACUGCCUGGGAGCUUCUGGGCUCGCUCAGAAGCCGCUUGGUGGCCCUUCAAAACGGCCCGCCCUGCC
rnacentral:misc_RNA from 1 species